rnacentral:lncRNA from 1 species
CCCUGUGCAAAUAUAAGAAGUAAAGAAAUGGACUCGAGGAUAGAUGGACAGAAUUGGAAACAUGGAAACUGGAAUAUAUACAAAGAUUUUUUCACAAUCCAGAAUACUACUUUGAUGGUGCUUUCUAUUAGCUCUCCUGAGAUGGCAAAUUUAACUAAGAUUUGGAGAAGCGCUUGUCAUUGCAACAUUUAGUGAUAACACCUGGGUCUAUGACCAAAAAUAGCCACCUUGUAUUAUUUACAGAAUUCGGUGCAAUAACACGUUGGAUGCAACAAUAGCCAUAUCAAGCCCGAUAGGGCCUUUUGAGUCCAUUUGCUACAGUUCUAUAAUGUCGUCAUGUCCUGUCCAGCAAAAGGAGUUUUACUUGGUCACCUCGGUUUGCCUUGAAAGUGGUAGAAGACCAGGAACAAACGGUAACGUUAUAUCAUCAUUAAUAUGAUGGGGGCGUAAAUUUCGCUUUCUGUCAUCUUCAUCCUUACUCCCAAACUUCAAUGAUAUCAUGCUAACGCUAUACAAAAUGAUUUUCGCCACUCCACCAUUCCCACGACAUACAAGUAUUCUAUUUCUAACAGGGGCAAAAAAAGGUACUAUGCCCACCACAAAAGAAAACAUGACAUCACCAAACAAAGAUGCUGCCAUCUAAAUGGCACAUCUCGCAAGCAGCAUGGUAGAGGCAAGAGGGUCCACAACACACUUGGUCACCUACUUACAGACACAUAUUGAACUGAGAUGCAACAAAAAUGGAUUCAAAUUAAGUAACAAGGAUUAAAAAGGCCCAGUGGUCCAAAUCACACCAAAUUAACAUAAGGAAUUGAAAUACAAGUCCAACUCCAAUUAAGCACCCCCACCAUCGCAGUGCGAAAGUUUUAAUUCAGAUUUUAGCCUCGCCAAUUCCAUUGUGCAAUAGAAGAGUAAGCCACGGGGGGUAAAUAACCAGAUCAGGUUGCAUCAUCUUAGGGAAGUCUAGUCUGGUAUUUGGUGGCCAACUCAGCAUAACCUGAUAAAUCACAAUCUUCUCACAGAAGGGGUCAACUUUGCAAGCAAACCCAUCCAGCAACUGAUUGUUAACGAUGUACAUAACGUUUUAGCUAAAGAUCAAGAAUUAGAGCUACUCUUAAAACUCUUACAUAGGAAUUGGCCAAACUAAGGCAUUUGUUCCUUUAAAUGUCACUUCGUGCAUAGAGGACUAGUUGAUUUCUGUUGAAACAAAUAGUGCGAGGCAAGGAGAAGGAAAGGAAGGUUCCAGAGAAGACUCGUUAGAUAACAGGAAAAACCAGUUUUUAAAUUUUAGCAUAAAGCAGUUUAGUUAAUGCCCCUUCUUUAACUUCCAGCCUUCCAGCGGCAGCGGAUAGCAAUAUAUCAAAUUUCUAACGUUUGCUGGGACGCAAUUUUCAUUGGGAGUCUCAUCUAAAAAAGAGUAACCAACCAAACACAAGGUAAAUUCAGAAAUUGAAGAGUAAGUCUGCCAUGCAAGUGCCAAUGCCUCCAGAACACAAAGCAUACUGGAGUACCAAUUUCUUCAAGACGACCAAACAGAAAGUUUUAAUGAGCAAGAGAUAGAAACAAACAAGUUACGCUUCUCCCACAUGACAUGCUGAGUUUAAAUAUGAUCAACACUGCAGAGAAGAGUAGUGAAUGAUCUUACGGGGCCAUCCAACGGUAAGUCCCUGUCUCAGGUGUCAUUCCUUCAGUCUGGACCUCAAUUCGAGCAACCCCGAAAUCAGCAAUCUUGAUUGAUUUAUCGGAGAAAAUUAGGAGAUUGUCAGAUUUUAAAUCUCUGUGGAUCAAACCAAGCCCAUGAACAUACUCCAUUCCCCUAGCAACAUCCAAGGCCUGUCUGACUGCCAAUUUCAACGGAACGGCCCGAUUAUGCCGUUUCAUCAAAAACUGCCGAACUGAACCUCCUUUCGCAUAUUCUGUAACGAUGCACCAGACCAUUGGCUUACGGCAUCCACCAAUGAAUCGGACAAUGUUAGGAUGCUUCAAUGUGGCCAACAUCAUGACUUCUUGCUGAAACUGUUGCUCCAUCAGCUGCGCCCUCUCUAGAUCGUUCUCUGGCCUCUCCAAGAUCUUGAUGGCGACUUCCUCGCCAUUGUAAGUACCUCUGUAGAGCUUUCCAAAGGCCCCUUGCGCGAAAGGUGCACCCAUGUUGAGUUUCCUCAGAUCGAGAGUCCAGUCAUCAAAUUUUUCAAGUCCCAAGGUCGGGGAACUGCUGUCCAUAAGAGCUUGGGCUAGUGCAUCAUCACUCAAAGCAUGCGUGACUCUCCCUCUGUGAUUCACACUCUGCGCAACAGAAUAGUUGUCGUUGGCACGCCGUCGCAGGCCUUGGUGAUUUAGCAUGCGAGUAUGGGAAUCGCUAGAGUCGACACUGCUGUUGUCUAUGGACAUCGCGACAGACCCUCCACCAGUGCUGGUUUGCAGGCUUCCACAGCUCUCGAUCGACAUGUUGGAACCCUCGCUGAGCUUAUGAUAAAACGCCUGGGACGAAUCGAAGUAAUUGUUAUCAUGAUUCUUCAGACCAAUAAUUCCAGGGAACUUCUGACCUCCGUCCAACAUUUCCGAGUCCCAACAAAACAGCACAGGCGCUCAGCCUCUGUUCAGUUCAUAAGCUAUCUUCUAUAACUGAAGAAGUCAAUACACCGUACUAAUGAAACCCUGCAAGAGAAGCAAACCCUUUCUCAGCAUCAUCUUCCCGUGAAGCUCAUCCAUCGAAAAGUGCACAAACGUACGAUGAAACUAAAUGGCCCUACAAACAGCUAAAUCUAGACCCAAAGAACCCCACGUGGAGAUCCCCAAGGAAGCACCGAGAGAAGCGGCCCGCCCUAACGAAAUUCGACCCUCUAACUUCAGUCGUGCCCCGAUAUUACCAACAUAUCCAGAAAAUAAAAAAAGGAAGCGGGAGCCCCCUCCUCCCUCGUUAGGAGAGUUGGACAGCCAUAGUCGAGGGGCAAGAUAACAGCAGAUACAGAGGGAACACGAGAGAGAGAGAGAGGGGGGGAGGUGCAAUCGACCCCUCCCUCGAGGGAGCGGAUUGAAAGGGGAGAGCGUACCUGGGCGGAGAGCACUUUGACUUUUUUGGGAAUUGGACGGAGGAAGGACAAGUGGAGAACACUCGGACUGGAAUCGGAUCGAAUCUGAUCUAAUCCAAAGCCACAGCGAAUCUUUGGGAGGGAAAAAGGGAAAGAGAUUGUUGAUGAUGAUGAUGAUGAUGAUGAUGAUGAUGAUGAUCACGAGAGAGAGAGAGAGAGAGAGAGAGAGGGAGGGAGGAAGAAAGGAGGAGGAGGAGGAGGGGGAAGAAGGAGAGGAAGAAGGAAAAGGAGAAGAAGCUGCUGCUGCCGCUGCUGCAGAAGAAAUGGCAAAGGACACCACAGUGGUCUUCGGGUCUCCGCUUUUUGGCUCAUCUCCGCUUCUUCCCUUUAGUUUACUCUUUCUACGCUCAGAAGAGUCCGGUCCGAGCAGGAGCACGGCCUUACCGUGUGACCGCUCACACCUUACCCUUUCCCUUCCCACCACUCCACCUCUCGCUCUCACGUGGCACGCCGGCACUCGAUCCCCACCCACUGGGCCUCCAAGCAACUCCAUCCCCAUCCACUGGGCCUCCUCCCUCCUCCUGCUCCUGUCGGCUUAAAAGGCCCCCCGGCCCAAUUCUCUCCCCACGCCCACCUUCUUCGGCCGUUCCACCUCGAUUUUCAUCCUCGGACCACAAGCACAUGAUUUCACGACCCUCGAUAAAAAUAAAAAUAAAAAUAAAAUAAGAAGAAGCUUCAUUUCAUUUGGAUACGUCCAAAGAACAUUUUCGAAUGAUCCCUCUAUGUCCAAGGCGAUGAUAUAUUUCGAUUCCUCAACAUUUUCCCGAAACUGGUUUUCAUCAUCCGACCAAAUUAGAUUGUGAUUUUCCCGAAACUAGUUUUCAUCAUCUGAUUUUAUUUCUCCUUUUUUCUAGAAAUAAGCGCACAAGAAGCCGUAAAACCGAGAAACUGGCAAUACUUAGGUAAAAAUCAAAUAGAGUUCUCAAUCAAGUGUACACAGCAUAAUAAAAGCAGUUAAGGUGACGUAUACGCACAGAGCACAAGUAUACACACAUUUAAUACCCUCUUCAACUACAAUUAAUUCUACAUAGACCUGGGUUUGAGCUCCCGUCCCAACCCCUUCUCCGCCUCCUCCUCCUCCUCCUCCAUCAGGCCCUUGCAUCAUGCAUGUCGCCAUGGCCUUAUUUCCCCCAUAACUCUCUAAUCAAUCGAUAGUCAUCGGUUGGGUCAUGCAACACCUGAAGCGAGCCUUGCGAACCGUCGUCAUGAUUUCAGUCUCCGCAUUCUCAAGCAUUCUCACCACUUCAGUGAAAGGAGGCCUGACAUCUGGGUUGGCAUCCCAGCAUCUAGUCAUAAUGUCGCUGAGGAUAGGUAGACAAUCUCCGGGGAUGAUUGGGCGGACACCUUUGUUGACAACUGCAAACGCAGCCUGCACAGCGGUCAUGUUUUGGAAGGGAAGCAUUCCUGUGAUUAGUUCCCACAGGACAAUUCCGAAACUAUAUACAUCCACUUUCUGAGUGUAGGGCCUGUGCUGGAUCAUCUCCCUGCAUGAAUAUAAGAAGUACAGGAAUGCAGCUGAGGAUAGACAGACAGAAAAUUGGAGAAUUUCAAGAAUGGAACAUAUGCAAAGAUUUUCACAACCCAGGAAGCUACUUGGUGCUUUUUAUUAGCUAUCCCAACAUGACAAAUUUGACUAGAUAUGCAGAAGCUCUCGUCAUUGCAACAUUAAAAGAUGAUAUCUGGGUCUACGACCAAAAAGAUCCACCUUGUGUAAUCUAUAGAAUUCAGCACAAGACCUGUUGGAUGCAGGAACGACCAUAUCAAGCGCAAUAGGGCCUUUGAGUCUCUUUCCUUCAAUUUCAACAAUGUCAACACAUCAUUUUCAACAAGGGAUGUUUUAACUGGUAGCCUGGGUUGGCCUCAAAGAUUGCAGAUGGCCAGGAACAGAUGGUAGCUAGUAAGAUAAUGGACACAUUGAUUACAUCCCAAUUAAUAAGACGGGGAGAGCAUUCCACUUUUUGUUGUCUUUCAUCCCUAUUUCCAAACUUCAGAUGAUAUUAUGCAGACACUACACAAAAUCAUUGGAAACCACUCCACAGUUCCUAUUGUCGUAGGAACUUCCUUGUACAUACAAGUAUUCUAAUUCCAACAGAAAAUAGGGUGUCAUGCCCUACCCACUAAAAGAAUCAUGUAAUCUUAUAAGAUCAAAUAGAUAACACGGCCAACUACAUAGCACGUGUCGAAAGCCACACAGUAGAGUCAAGAUUUUCCACAACACAUUUGAGCAUCUACUUGUAAACAUGCAUAUUGAACAGAGAUGGAACGAAAACAGACUUAAAUUAGGUAACAACAAUUGAAAAGAGAACCAACUGUUCAAAUUAAACAGGAUUAACAUUAGGAAUCAAAGAUACAAAUCCAACUCCAAUAAAAACACCCCCCUAGUCAGACCUUGAAAAUUUUAAGAUUUUAGCCUGGCCAAAUCCAUUGCAAAGUAGAAGAAUAAGCCACAGAGGGGGAAGAACCAGGUCAGGUCGCAAUAUCUUAGGGAAGUCUAGGCUUCAGUCUGGGGUCAACCCAGCAUAACCUGAUAAAUCACGAUCUUCUCAUGGAAAGGGUCAAUAUUGCAAGCAAACCCAUCCAGCAACAGAUUAUUAAUCUUGUACAUGGCAUUCUAGCCAAAGAUCAAGAAUUAGAGCCACUCAUAAAACUCCUAUCAUAGGAAUUGGCCUAAGGCAUUUGUUCCUUUAAAUGUCACUUCAUGCAUAGAGGACUAGUUGAUGUCUGUUAAAACAAAUAGUGCGAGGCAGGGAGAAGGAAAGGUGAAAGGUUCCAAUUGAGACUUGUUAAAAAAAAGGACAAAAUAGUUUUUGACUUUUUGCUAGAGUAUAAAGCAAGCCACCAGAAUGCUUUUUGCAUACUCAGGUACACGUGGUAACCAAUUUCCUCGGGACAAACAAACAGAAAGUUCUAAUGAGCAAAAAAUCAGGCACAAACAAGUUAAGCUUCACCCACAUAGCAUGCCGAGUAUAGAUAUGUUCAACAUUAAGUAAUUAAAGCUCCAUAUUUGAGCAGCGAAGAAUCUUACGGAGCCAUCCAACGGUAAGUCCCUGUCUCGGGUGUCAUUCCUUCGGUCUGGACCUCAAUUCGAGCAACCCCAAAAUCAGCAAUUUUGAUUGAUUUAUCAGAGAAAAUUAGUAGAUUGUCGGACUUUAAGUCUCUGUGGAUGAAACUAAGCUCGUGGACAUACUCCAUUCCCCUAGCAACAUCCAAAGCCUGUCUGACUGCCAAUUUCAACGGAACGGCCCGAUUAUGCCGUUUCAUCAAAAACUGCCGAACUGAACCUCCUUUCGCAUAUUCUGUAACGAUGCACCAGACCAUUGGCUUACGGCAUC